AAGUGAGUGACUUAUAAAUAUUCAAGUUAGUUGUGCACAUGGAAUAUUACACGAUAUACUUGACUAUAGAACUGAUAGAAUGCAGAUUACAAAACAAAAUAGAGGAACAAUCAAUUGAGUGGAAAGACCCUAGGACCGGUUCAGCACUCGAAAGCACAUUGACAGUCGCGGGGCUGGGAAUCCAUCGGUGCUCCAUUUGAUUGAAAAGCAGCAAA